UCCCUGGUGGCCCAGAAGGUAAAGCGUCAGUCUGCAAUGCAGGAGACCCAGGUUCGAUUCCUGGAUCGGGAA
rfam:TPA: Bos taurus chromosome 15, whole genome shotgun sequence.